CAAAAGGCCGGUAGGAGCAUGUGGUUUAAUUCGAAGCAACGCGAAGAACCUUACCAGGUCUUGACAUCCUCUGACAACCCUAGAGAUAGGGCUUUCCCCUUCGGGGGACAGAGUGACAGGUGGUGCAUGGUUGUCGUCAGCUCGUGUCGUGAGAUGUUGGGUUAAGUCCCGCAACGAGCGCAACCCUUGAUCUUAGUUGCCAGCAUUCAGUUGGGCACUCUAAGGUGACUGCCGGUGACAAACCGGAGGAAGGUGGGGAUGACGUCAAAUCAUCAUGCCCCUUAUGACCUGGGCUACACACGUGCUACAAUGGAUGGUACAAAGGGCUGCAAACCUGCGAAGGUAAGCGAAUCCCAUAAAGCCAUUCUCAGUUCGGAUUGCAGGCUGCAACUCGCCUGCAUGAAGCCGGAAUCGCUAGUAAUCGCGGAUCAGCAUGCCGCGGUGAAUACGUUCCCGGGCCUUGUACAACCCCCCCGGUAA
rnacentral:rRNA from 2 species